GGGCCUACGGGGGGCAGCAGUCGGGAAUAUUGCGCAAUGGAGGAAACUCUGACGCAGUGACGCCGCGUGCAGGAAGAAGGUUUUCGGAUUGUAAACUGCUUUAGACAGGGAAGAAAAAAGACAGUACCUGUAGAAUAAGCUCCGGCUAACUACGUGCCAGCAGCCGCGGUGAUACGUAGGGAGCAAGCGUUAUCCGGAUUUACUGGGUGUAAAGGGAGCGUAGACGGCAUAGCAAGUCUGAAGUGAAAGCCCGUGGCUCAACCGCGGAACUGCUUUGGAAACUGUUAAGCUGGAGUACUGGAGAG
rnacentral:rRNA from 1 species